rnacentral:rRNA from 1 species
UACGGAGGGGGCUAGCGUUGUUCGGAAUUAUCUGGGCGUAAAGCGCGCGUAGGCGGAUCUGCAAGUCGGGGGUGAAAUCCCGAGGCUCAACCUCGGAACUGCCUUCGAUACUGCGGGUCUCGAGUCCGGGAGAGGUGAGUGGAAUUCCUAGUGUAGAGGUGAAAUUCGUAGAUAUUAGGAAGAACACCAGUGGCGAAGGCGGCUCACUGGCCCCGGUAC